UACGUAGGGGGCAAGCGUUGUCCGGAAUUAUUGGGCGUAAAGAGCGCGUAGGCGGUCCGGUAAGUCGGCUGUGAAAGUCAAGGGCUCAACCCUUGAAAGCCGGCCGAUACUGUCGGACUAGAGUCCGGAAGAGGCGAGUGGAAUUCCCGGUGUAGCGGUGAAAUGCGUAGAUAUCAAGAGGAAUACCUGAGGUGAAGACGGGUUGCUAGGCCGACACUGACGCUGAAGCGCGAAAGCCAGGGGAGCAAACGGG
rnacentral:rRNA from 1 species